UUUAUGAAAUCAAAAAUAAUUUUAGAAUUGAUGUUGAAAGAAUUUGAAUUACGAAAACACAAUUAAAUUUAGAAAACAAUCAUAACCGAUUUUGGAUUCAAAUACUAAAUCUAAAUCCUAAUUCUAGCCCAAUUGGGUGAAGCCCAAAUAAUAAAACCCAAAAAAAUAAUUACUCCCUUCUCUUUCAAUUUCACGUAAAAAGCAAAAACAAGAAAUCAAACCCUUCUCUCUCUCUUUCAACAUUCACGUGAAAACCACUCUCAAGCCUCCAUUGUUGUUCACGGCCGCCGUCACCACUCACCGGCGACCACCCUCACCGCAGCCUUCACGCCGUCGCACGCAACCACAACCGACGCCGAGCAGCAGCAGCCGCCGUCGCUGCUCUCCUCCGACGCCCGGCUUCCUCCACCGUCCAUCUAUUUCGUCGGCGUCGUUCUCUCUCCUCUCUGUUUCGUCACUACUCCACGCUGGCCAUCACCACCUUCGGCAACCAGCCCAUCCGCAACCACUACGCGCCAGCCGCGUCUCCUGGCUCGCCUAACCACCGCCGCUGCCGCGCCCUGCCGCCCGCCAGCAACUCCUUUCUCCUCUUUUGGUGGAGAAUUCUCUUUAGGCAACUUUUGAAAGUGUUAAAGUGGCCUAUCAGUUUGUUUACACAAGUCUCUAAGGAUCAAUAAGCGUUGCCCAUCUACAGGUUUGAAGAUGAUGCAUCAUUGGGAUCGGGAUUAGAGAGCUUGUAGUUCUAUUCGUUUAAUUAAGUGAUUUAAUUUGUUAACUUGGAUUUGAAAUUUGUCGUACUAUUCGUAUUUCCUUAAUUCAGUUAAUUGGUUCGGACCUAAUAUGUAAUAGAUUAUUUAUGAACCUAAAAGUUAUUUUUAUGUUUUCCGCUGCAAAAUUCUGAAUAAGCCGUAACGUUUUCACACGGGCGAUAAUGCCUUGAUAAUUCUCUACGUUUUAUAUUAAAAGGUUAUUUUAGAAAAGAGGGAAUUGUCGGGGUGUUACAAAGUGGUAUCUAGAAGCUAAGGUUUUACUUUAAUAAAUUUUAGGCGCCUAACUAUCUAGUAAUUUAAAAUCAAUUUCUUAAAAAUCGAGCUUCUACGUAUUAUAGUGUUCAAAAAUUGGUACUUUUUUUUGGGGGACCAAAUUAAUUUUAUUUGUUUGAAAGUAUAUAUUAAUAUUUCUUAUUUAAGUUCGAAAUUAACUUAUUUAUUUUAAACUUUGCGUUUAUUCGAAUUAAGUACGUUCUUUUUCUUUUCGAAUUUAAUUAAAUAUAUCCGAAAUAUAUACAUAUAAAAAAAAUAAAAAAAAAAUAAAAAAAAAUAAUAAUAAAAAAAAAAGUUCUUUAUUUAUUCGUUUAAUAAAAAAAAAAAUUUUACUAAAUUUUCUUAUUUUAUUCUUUAAAAUUCUUCAAUGUUUGACCUAUUAUGAUUUAUUAUGAGAGAUGGGUAAUAUAGGAAAGGGCAUAUAGGAUAGAAUUAUAUGUGCAUUAGUAGUUAAUUGCUAGCAUAAGAAGUUAAUUGUUACGUGCAUAUGCUAAAUGUUUAAGUGUUGCAUUUAAAUGUGCAUAGAAAUUGUUUGAUUCCACCAAACUUAUCGUUUUAUUGAACUUUGGUUAUGGUUUGGUUGGGAAAUUGUUAGUGAGACUUUAAGUUGUUUCUUUUAGGAAUAAAAUGUGGCUUUCCAAGUACACCACCAUAGGAUUCCAAGUCGUGUUUGGAUAUGAUUAUUUUGCUAAGAUACAAGACCAACCCACCUUAACGAGAAAAGAUAUCAUAGAAUCCACUAUUGUUCAUUGCUUACCUAACCAAAUGUCAUACCUAGGACUCAAAUAUAUGUUUAAAGACAUGCAUUCUCAUUAUGGAACACCAAAUUCGGCUAAGUAUGGCACUAGGAUGGUAGUUCGAGAUGCGAC